ACUCAGCUCAUACCUCUGAGCCUGAGGUCAGAAGCAGGCAGAGCAGAGGGUGGCCGUGGAACCCCACCCCCGCCCCCCAUCCCUGAGGCUGCCUGCAACCCUUCUGGGAAGCAUUUCAACCUCUUACCAGCAAGAUCUGCCCUGGUUGCCAUGGUUACAGUAGAACCACUCACCCACCCACCCACCAAGGCCUCCCAGGACAGGAUCCCCAGCUGCUCAGCGUGAAGUCUAGCUCUGGAAAAAGAAGGAGGAGAGAGAGACUGAUUAUGUAAGAGCAUCCGCUGCCACUCAGCCACCAGCCAGGAAAGGAAGACCCACCGUGCCCACGGAGACACCCAACCCUGUCUUCACGCACAAGAAAGGACUCCAAGGCACCUCGGUGGCUGCCUGGAGCCAAGGAGUGACUGGACUUUCACCAAACUCCAUUUGCACAGUGACAGAGCUGGGACCCAGGACUUCAAGCAAGCCAGACAAACACUCUACCAACAAGUCCCUUCCCCGGCCCCAGUGAUAUCUUUUCAUUGUUAUUUUGUGCGUGCCAGCACAUCCUUCACCCCCAGACACCCCACCUCUGUUGCUCUGUAGGGGAUCCCACCUCCACAGCAGUACUACUGCAACCCACCUGUUCUCCCCAACCCCCUAAUGUCACACCCGGAUGCAAUCUUGAAGUGUAGAUUUAGCAUCUCAUCCCUUUCAUUCACCGCGUUGAUUUUUGGGGUGCUGUCACGUUGACAUGCGUGUGAACAGUUUCCUCUUUUUUCCCUUGCUCAGUAAUAGUCCCGUCUGUCCACACGUCACCGUGUGUCUACCCACCCAUAAAGAAGCAUCUAGGUUGAUCUGGUCUUUGAUGAGUAUGAAGAAGGCUACAUGCCUCAGUGGACAGGCUUUGGUGUGGAGAAGACUUCCUUCUCAUCUGAGUCCCGCUGUCCUUCAGACCAUUGGGGCUCUGCAUACCAGCCACAGAGCCUGGGCUGUCCACCGCCAUCAGCUCGCCAUGCUUCCUCACAAAGCCACACACAACCAAGAGGUUCUUCACCACGUCCAAAUAGAAGAAACCCUGUUGUGCCUCCUCUGUGUGUGCGCAGGUGCAUCCCUGUAGGCACACACAGAGGACACAGGAGGAUGCUGGGUGUCCAACUCUGUCACUCUCCACCUUAUUUCUCUGAGGCAGGGUUUCUGGCUGAACCUGCACCUAGGCUGGCUGCCAGAACACCACAGCUAUCCUCUUGUCUACAUCUGACACAGCUGUGGGAUUUGUGUAGCUGAGCCUGCUUUUCUGUUAGUUUGGUUUGCUUUGGUUUUUAUUUUUUGUUUUUGCUUGGGUGCUACGAAUUCAAACGCAGGCCCUCAUGUGUGCACUUCGGAAAGCUCUUACCUGCUGAGCCAUGCCCCCAGGCCCUGUUGCAGCUUCUUCAUUCAGAAGGGACUCUAACAUUGAACCCCACCAUGCAUCCCGGUCUGCCUGUUCCCAAUGGGGAAGUCAGGUGGGAAAAAGAGGCACAGCCAACCUCAUGGAUCAACCACGUGGCACACGUGAAUGAGUCUCAUUGAAAUGAGAAAGCAGAAAGGACCCUAAGGAAGCUGCCAAGAGGAAGAUAUCUGAUGAAAAGCUUUGAUCUGGAGUAGAGGCUCUGAGGGAGUCAGGCUUCUGGCUGUGGUAGUUUGAAAGAGAUGUUCCAGAUAUUAGGAUACCUGGUACCAGUUGGUAGUAUUGUUUGUGUGUGUGUGGGGGGGGGUUUCUUAUGUGUGGCUUUGUUGGAGGAAGUGUGUCACUGGAAGAAGCCUGCCUCUACUCCACUAUCAUGGACUCUCUCUUUCCUUUUUCUUUUUUAGAUUUAUUUAUUUAUUUUAUGUAUAUGCAUACACACUGCCACUCUUCAGACAGGCCAGAAGAGGGCGUCGGAUCCCAUUACAGAUGGCUGUGAGCCACCAUGUGGCUGCUGGGAAUUGAACUCAGGACCUCUGAAAGAGCAGUGUCAGUGCUCUUAACCGCUGAGCCAUCUCUCCAGUCCUAUCUUAGACUCUUAACUCUUUGAACCAUAAGUUCUAAUAAAUUCUUUCUUCUGU
ensembl:antisense Gm15894 predicted gene 15894